ensembl:lncRNA
CAUCAGAAGAUUCUUGGUGCUUGGUCCUCAUUGAAAGGGGCAGGGAAAGUACCUGAAAUUCAAAAGUCAACAUGUCUCCCCUGCAGCUCGAGGACCAGUGGGAGUGAACUGUACCGUGGAGACGUCCUUUUCCAUAAACUUCAAAACUGGGAGAAGGCUGGAUCAAUAGCCUGUCAUUUUGAAAAGAACGGAAGGCCAGGAAUAUGAUGAUAAUCAGCAGGCUGCAUGGAUUUGCCAGAUACAAAUCAUAUUAACACGGAAAUCAUUUCUUUCCAUCAGAAGGUAACUGGCUUUGGCUUGGGGCCAACAACAAGUGGAUUGAAAGGGCUCUUGAGGCUCAAUGAAGAAAUAACUCUUACUUUUGCUUCCUUGGAAUCCUAACCUGGGGAAUCAGCCAAUGCAGUAGCUCUUCUAAACUAGAGGGGGAACAGGAAAAGAGAAAGAAAACCUGCAUCCCAGUUGGAAUUUGCUUGAGAGCAUGGGGACAGCAAGCUCCUCGCACCUUUCCACAGGGGACACUCUCAACGUCCUGCUGGUGGGGCGGCUGUCGCUGGAGGCCACAUCCUGAUGAGUCCCUGAUUCUCACCAAACAUGCACAGCUGCGCAGCGAGUCUCCUCAUUCAGAACUAAAAUGUCUUCUGAUAUUUGGGAACUGCUGCCAUCGAGAGCAUCCGUCCUUGUCAUUAAUUAAAGUGAUGGAAGCUCCUCAGCCCGCGGCUCAGAACUGUCCCUAACAGGUGAUUAGGGUUUUCAGGGCUUUCACACUUCAUGACUCCAGGCGACAGAGAAGGAAGGGGGACCCGGGUGGGCGCAGAGACAAAUGCUCAGAGCAGGGACCAGGAAACUGGAUGCCUGGGCUCAGCUCUGCCUUGAGUUGGCUGAGUCACUGGGGACACGUCACUGUCGGGGUCUUAGUUUCCUUCUCUGCGAAAUGGGCACUGGCCCAAUGGAAGCGUGUGGUGAGGGUCACCCAGGAUUUGAGGUGCUCUUACCUUUAUGAUUUUCCUCGUCUGUAAAUGAGAGAAUUGGGCUCGGUCUCUGGGGCCCUUGGAGCCCCCUAGUCUAAUAGCUAUUUUGGAAAAUGAAAAAUUAUAAUACAAAUACUCAGUAUCAUCACUGCUGUUGUUCUUCCAAAUGAUCAGCUAACGAUCUCGCUAAGGUACCAAACACCCUGCUGUUCACCCGUGGGCGGCACUCAGCCCUCAGCCGGAGGGAGCAAGGCAGCUCAGGACUGAGGGCUGCCAGGUGUUUCUCCAUGGAACCAUGCCAAGAAGCCAGCAUGGAAAGGAUGCUUCUGUUAUGGCAAAGUGAAUCAUAAAGGAAAUGGCCAGCAUCUCCCCCAGUGAGGUGUUGCCAUGCAUUUUAACAGCAAAAAGAGUUGGGGGUAAGAAAUGGAUAUUGUCAUUAAAAAAAAAAAAAAUUAACCUGGCUUUUGGCUAGCUCCAUUUUAAAAAAUGUAUGUCUUCUAAGUGUGGCCUCAUGCAGGGUUACAGUGAGGAGCAGGACACACUCCCUGGCAUUCCUGCUGGGAAAGCAGGUAUC